UCCCUGGUGGUCUAGUGGUUAAGACUUAGCGCUUUCAAUGCCGGGGCCCAGGUUCAAUCCCUGGUCAGGGAA